ACCAGACGAUGCGGUUACCGCGGCUGCUGGCACGGAGUUAGCCGGUGCUUCUUCUGUGAGUGAUGUCCUUCCUGCCGGCUAUUAACCCGCAGGCCUUCUUCCUCACUGAAAGUGCUUUACAACCCGAAGGCCUUCUUCACACACGCGGCAUGGCUGGAUCAGGGUUGCCCCCAUUGUCCAAUAUUCCCCACUGCUGCCUCCCGUAGGAGUCUGGGCCGUGUCUCAGUCCCAGUGUGGCUGAUCAUCCUCUCAGACCAGCUACGGAUCGUCGCCUUGGUGAGCCGUUACCUCACCAACCAGCUAAUCCGACAUAGGCUCAUCCGAUAGCGCGAGGCCCGAAGGUCCCCCGGCUUUCCCCCGUAGGGCGUAUGCGGUAUUAGCCUGGGUUUCCCCAGGUUAUCCCCCACUACCGGGCAGAUUCCUAUGCAUUACUCACCCGUCCGCCGCUCGCCACCGAGGAGCAAGCUCCCCGUGCUGCCGCUCGACUUGCAUGUGUUAGGCCUGCCGCCAGCGUUCAAU
rnacentral:rRNA from 1 species